rnacentral:tRNA from 4 species
GCGUGCGUAAGAUAGUGGCUAUUCGGUCGGGCUUCCAACCCGUACAGCGAGGGUUCGAGUCCCUCCGCCCGCACCA